AACUGGGUGGUAAGGGUCCUUCUAUUUUGCAUGGCAGUCAACACAAUUCGAACUCAUUGCCUCUAGAUCUAAAUCUUUCUCCUCCAACUGAAUUCAAUGAUGUGGUAGAAGGGGGAACCUAUUCAACAAGGUCGUACUAUGAAAAGGAAAUCAUAUCCGAUGCUGCAAUACCUAAGGCCUCCAACAAACGCAAUGAUGACAAUGAAAUGGUCAACUGUGAGACUCUGGAUUUAAAUUUAAAGCUCUAGACUUGCGUCUUGCAAGAAAGAAUAAAUGAGAACUGAGUAGUCAACUCAGGUGAUGCAAAACAUAUAUAAAUGAAUGAGUUCUCUUUUUGUUAACUAAUGUGUUUCCCCCCUCUUCUUUAUUUAUUGAUAAGUACAGUCUUUCCUAUUUUUCCCAUCAUAUCAUAAUUACUCAUGCAAUCCAACCAGACAAAACUAAAUGACUAUAUAUCAAUCAGUUUCUGUUUCUUUAACCCAGGUUGGAAGGAUAUCAUUACAAGUACAAUAAAUUUCAUAAUCAACGUCAAUAUUCAUCCAAUUUAUGAUAGUAGUAAAGCUCACUCUAAUGGGGAGAUUAUUACAAUAAUCACUACCCUCACAAAGGAAUUAAUAAAGCGUCAUAAUAAGGAAGAAUAACAAACUCACACAAUAACACUGAGAAUCAAGAUCUAAAAGUCCUGAGUCUUAAUCAUAAUCAUCAGGCUAAUACCUUGUUAACGAGUUAAGCCAAUCUUGUUGCGGACGUAUAAUUUAUUUUCCUUAAAUAUGAUUUUAGUUACGAGGGCACGGAAAAAGUGAGACAUACCUCACGUUUCUGCGUGAUCUUUCCCACAAAAUAACACCGUUUUAAAAAAUUACAAAACAUUCUUUUGUACACAACAUGGAAGGGAAUGUAUUUUUUAUAUGAGUAAUGCUACUAUCACAUAAAACCGCUCACAUACAUAUUGGUAUGACCCACAUGACUUGCUCUGCACGUGGGUCAUACCAAUAUGCAUGUGAGUGUAUUAGCGGUUUUUAUGUGAUACUUAUAAUUUUUAUAAAUAAAUACACAAAAUGAAGUCUUUUUUUGUGCGAUAACUCACCCAAUAAUAUGUGGUCUCUCACAUCCCUUUUUGCCUUAUUGUAUACUUGAGUAUUUUAAAUAUAAAUAGGCAAUUUAGGAAAAAUAUUAUUAAAUGAAACCAAUAUAUCAUCUUCCUCCCUGAAAAAUUAGGGAUGAACAGUAGUGCCAAUUCUCUCUCUCUGUCUCUCUCUCUCUCUCUAUAUAUAUAUAUAUAUAUAUAUUUUAUAUAUAAAAUAAUGUAUAUUGAUAUACCAAAUAGAGAAGUUGAAUUGCUCAAACUAAUCUAUUAAGCAUUGUGAUUUUGAUGUCACAUAUUAAAACCCAUUAUCCAAUUCAUGAUAUCCGAAUUGCCUUUCAAGAUAUGCUUAAAGUGAACGACAACAGCAACAACAACACACCCAAGAGUUAGCUCGGCCUAUAAGAAAAAAUUAUUCAUGACACUAGUCGAGUAUAUACUUCACAUCGUAAUUACAAAAGUAAAUAAAACUAUUAAUUUUUAAAAAAAUACAUAAUCGCAGCCAAGAACAAACAAUCGUGCAGAAGCAACAAACUAUUAUUAGGAUUUAGAAAUACUGAUUUUCAAACCUCAUAGAAAAGCCCCAAAUCAUUGUCUCCGUCAAUACGCCGCAAUCCAUAAAUCUGAGGCUUUUUUUUUAUUCUUUGGCGAUCGAGCCGCAAGCCCUAUAUCUGACUUCUCCUGUGUUCCUUUUUCUCAGUUUCUAAUUUUCCAAACAUAUAUUUUC
rnacentral:lncRNA from 1 species